rnacentral:rRNA from 1 species
GACGAACGCUGGCGGCGUGCUUAACACAUGCAAGUCGACGAGCGGCGAACGGGUGAGUAACGCGUGAGUAACCUGCCCUCUUUUUGGGCUAAGCCUUGGCACCGGGGUCUAAUACCGCAUCAAGGGGGAUGGGCUCGCGGCCUAUCAGCGUGUUGGUGGGGUGGUGGCCUACCAAGGCGGUGCCGGGUAGCCGGCCUGGGCGGGUGACCGGCCACAUUGGGACUGAGAUGCGGGCCAGACUUCUACCGGAGGCAGGAGUGGGGGAUAUUGCACAAUGGGCGAAAGCCUGAUGCAGCGACGCCGCGUGGGGGAUGAAGGCUUUCGGGUUGUAAACCUCUUUCGCUAGCGAACGGGUAGGUGGAGAAGAAGCGCCGGCUAACUACGUGCCAGCAGCCGCGGUAAUAC